ensembl:lncRNA
GUCGCCUUACUGCAGCAGUGAUUGUGGUGGCCCACCAUGGUGAGAGACGCUCGGGAAUUCAUCUCAGCCUGCUCGGUCUGUGCUUCGCCCUCUUCCCAUACCCAGUCGCCCCUGGUCACACAUAGCUCUAGACUUCAUCACUGGCCUUCCUCCAUCUAACAGUAACUCAGUCCAGGACCACAGGCGCCGUUGUCAUUGCACCUGGAGGAGGGACUGGUCUGUUCCUCGUGCCUCUGCCAGGACCCAAUCCCAAGCUAACCGUUCCCAUGUUCCAGUCUACACUCCAGAUCAAAAGGAUUUCCAUACCUCACACCCUGACAAGUUGGGUUGUGCACCAGAUGGCGCCCUUGGGGGGGUUCAUUGUCACAUCUGCUCCUGCCACACCCCCUAGUGGUCAUCCGGUGUCUGCUUGACCUGCAGCCAUUCCCCCAGUACUCUCUCGCUCUCUCUCUCUCCACUGCUUUUGAGGGGCACAUGUCCGUUUAGAAGUUUGACCAAUGGAUGUACUGCUAGUUCUGCUCCCCAUGGGACCCCAUAGGCUCACAUGGAUAGGCGGAGAUGAAGACGUUACAGAAUCACCCACCACAACUGGACCAAGCAGCGUGGUGACAGGCAGCGACAGCAGAAGCAACAAAGAGAGGAAUGGACAUGGGAGGAUGAAUUGUUCGGAGAAGGACCCUGGGAUCAGCCUGGAGAAUAUCGCCGCC